AGUUUAAACGUUGAGCACAAGCAGGAGAGAUAAAUGAAUGGGUAGCACCGGUAUCUAGUAAGGUAUAAACUUCGCAAGAAUUUAUGAUUAGCUUACCCGUGAUCACCUCGUUUGGGUUCCUCGUAUUUUGACCAGUCACGACAAACGCUCUUCCAAGAACCGUUGACUUUGACUUUUCUGGGACAGCCUUUUGAGUCACCAUCCCCGCUGGACUUGGUUUCGCUA
rnacentral:lncRNA from 1 species